AACGAACGCUGGCGGCAUGCCUAACACAUGCAAGUCGAACGAGACCUUCGGGUCUAGUGGCGCACGGGUGCGUAACGCGUGGGAACCUGCCCUUAGGUUCGGAAUAACUCCCCGAAAGGGGUGCUAAUACCGGAUAAUGUCUUCGGACCAAAGAUUUAUCGCCUUUGGAUGGGCCCGCGUUGGAUUAGCUAGUUGGUAGGGUAAAAGCCUACCAAGGCGACGAUGCAUAGCUGGUCUGAGAGGAUGAUCAGCCACACUGGGACUGAGACACGGCCCAGACUCAGAAGGGAGGAAGCAGUAGGGAAGCUUGCGAAAGGGGAGAAAGUCUGAUGGAGAAAAGACGAGGGAGGGAGGAAGGUCUUCGGAUCGGAAAAGUAGGUGAGGAGGGAAGAAAAAAUGUGGAAGUAACGAGGCACGUCUGGAAGGUACAGAAUAAGAAAGCCACGGCGAACUAAGGG
rnacentral:rRNA from 1 species